AUUGGACGCUGGCGGCAGGCCUAACACAUGCAAGUCGAACGAGUGGCGGACGGGUGAGUAAUGUCUGGGAAACUGCCUGAUGGAGGGGGAUCACUACUGGAAACGGUAGCUAAUACCGCAUACCAUCAGAUGUGCCCAGGUGGGAUUAGCUAGUUGGUGGGGUAACGGCGCACCAAGGGGACGAUCACUAGCUGGGCUGCGAGGAUGACCAGCCAUGCAGGAACUGGGACAUGGUCCAGACUCCUACGGGCGGCAUGAGUGGGGAAUAUUGCACAAUGGGCGCAAGCCUGAUGCAGCCAUGCCGCGUGUAUGAAGAAGGCCUUCGGGUUGUAAAGUACUUUCAGCGGGUAGGCGUUACCCGCAGAAGAAGCACCGGCUAACUCCGUGCCAGCAGCCGCGGUAAUAC
rnacentral:rRNA from 1 species